GAGUAACGCGUGGGUAACCUGCCCUGUACACACGGAUAACAUACCGAAAGGUAUGCUAAUACGAGAUAAUAUGCUUUUAUCGCAUGGUAGAAGUAUCAAAGCUUUUGCGGUACAGGAUGGACCCGCGUCUGAUUAGCUAGUUGGUAAGGUAACGGCUUACCAAGGCGACGAUCAGUAGCCGACCUGAGAGGGUGAUCGGCCACAUUGGAACUGAGACACGGUCCAAACUCCUACGGGAGGCAGCAGUGGGGAAUAUUGCACAAUGGGCGAAAGCCUGAUGCAGCAACGCCGCGUGAGCGAUGAAGGCCUUCGGGUCGUAAAGCUCUGUCCUCAAGGAAGAUAAUGACGGUACUUGAGGAGGAAGCCCCGGCUAACUACGUGCCAGCAGCCGCGGUAAUACGUAGGGGGCUAGCGUUAUCCGGAAUUACUGGGCGUAAAGGGUGCGUAGGUGGUUUCUUAAGUCAGAGGUGAAAGGCUACGGCUCAACCGUAGUAAGCCUUUGAAAUUGGGAAACUUGAGUGCAGGAG
rnacentral:rRNA from 1 species